rnacentral:RNase_P_RNA from 2 species
ACAGCACCAAAGCCGCGAUGCUCGCCCCGUACAGGUUGCCCUGCGCGACUUCUCUUGCGAGCGGGCUAAGGUCUGAGCACUCUAGUCCUCCUCGAUCGACCCCAGCCGGGUCCAGUCGUAAUCGACUGCGCGACGUACCAGACACAUUGCCUGAAGUACCAUUGGUGCUAUACAACACCAAAUGACCAUGAUGUCUGCAGAGUUUGGCUGACAGGUCGAACCUGUGGUCAUGAGGUAGUACUUUCUGGCAUUGAGACAUGUCGCGAGGACCGGGCAGACAUGCUAUCGUACUAGCAGUCUGUGGUACUCCUCUUGCAACGACCUCGAGGCAUUUCGUAUGCACAACAUUACUAUUUGGUUGUCCCUUUGAGGGCUAGAGGCUUCAUGCAGAGUGUUGUGACACAGAUAUUGUUUGUCCUUCACUUCGCGGCUCGCACAUCUGGCUUCAUGCCUGUGCGCAACUCGAUUCAGACUACUCUGGUGCUGU